rnacentral:tRNA from 1 species
GCAGCUGUAGUUCAAUUGGUAGAGCACCUGCCUUCCAAGCAGGUUGUUGCGAGUUCGAGACUCGUCAGCUGCUCCA